AGGAGAAGAGUUUUGGUGUGAGAUAUGGAUGCCUUCUUUAAGACAUGAAAAUUAUUUUCAUGCGCUGCCUUUCUUUCUUUCUUACACAUCCAAAUGCCCUCCUUCCUCCAUCCUCCACACCAAGAUCUGAUGGUGAUCAGAUCUAAGAGAGAAAAAGAGAGAAAAAAGAAGAAGAAGAAGGGUUUUUCUUCUCUUCAUGAUGAUCUGGUUCAGAUCCCGUCGGAUUUGUGCGAAAGAGUUCGCACAGCGAUCUCCUUCUUCAAGAUCUAGAAGAAGAGAUCUUGGUCCAAGGAUAAGGAGCGAGAUCUGUAAGGUGCUAGCACAUCAGUGAUCUCGAUGCUCUGAUCAGACAGUUUCAUGUGGAUACC
rnacentral:lncRNA from 1 species